CCCUUAGAUGUCCUGGGCCGCACGCGCGCUACACUGACGGAGCCAGCGAGCGUGUCCUUCGCCGAAAGGUGCGGGUAAUCUUGGCAGCCUCCGUCGUGCUGGGGAUAGAUGGUUGCAAUUAUCCUUCAUGAACGAGGAAUUCCCAGUAAGUGCGAGUCAUUAUCUCGCGCUGACUACGUCCCUGCCCUUUGUACACACCGCCCGUCGCUACUACCGAUUGAAUGAUUUAGUGAGGACUUCGGACUGAGUCCAAUGCGGCUUUCGGGCUGCGUUGGUAUUUCGGAAAGAUGUCCAAACUGUAUCAUUUAGAGGAAGUAAAAGUCGUAACA
rnacentral:rRNA from 1 species